AUGAUACUACUUGAUGAAGAGGGUACUAUGAUACAUGGCAAGGUAAUGAAGCAUAUGGUUAACAAGUUCAGACCAUUGAUCCGAGAAGGUUUAGUCUACAUGAUAUCAAAUUUUAAGGUUAUGUCUGCAAUGAAUUUCCGCCCAGUUGAUAGCGAAAAGGUUCUAAAUUUCUUGCACACGACAAAAAUUCAAGAGAUAAAAGGUCAAAAAAAUAUCAAAAUAGCAGAACAAAGCUUCACGUUUUGUACUGUUGAAGUUCUUUACACAAGAGACAGCCAAAAGAUUUACUUAUCUGAUGUCAUUGGCAUAGCAAGUUACAUAGGACAUAUUGAAGAAACACAGACAACCCACGAGAUUUCAAAGAUUCGAGAUAUUGUGCUUCGGACUGAGGAUCAAAAAAUUAAUAUUAGACUAUGGGGUAAUAAGGUUGGUCAAAUUGAUGAAGAUUCUUUGGGGCGUGUGGUCAUCAUAACAUCAACUACUGUUAGAAAACUCAAAGAGUACUCGCUGUCAUCUACAGGUGCGACCAGAGUUUACAUCAAUUUGGAUAUCCCUGAAACAAAUGAGCUUCAAACGAGGUAUUGCUUGCAAGAUGAUAUGGUAGAAGAAAUAGAGCCAGAAGCCCAUUUGCAAGGCACAAUUCAAGAACAGAUGCUCUAUAACAGAAGAACCCUAAAAGAAAUAACUGAAAUUACAUAUGAAUCUGAAAAACAGGAAAAGUUCUAUACUGCAGAAGCAAUGAUUAAGUCAAUUAAUACAUCAGAUGAGUGGUACUACAUAGGAUGCCGUAAAUGCAACAAAAAUGUACAGAAACAAGGGAACCACUUCUACAGUCUGAAAUGUGAAAAAGAACCUGAGAAGAUAUGUCCAAGGUACAAACUGAAACUAGAGAUAUGUGAUCUGAGUGCAACAACAACUUGCGCCAUGUUUGAGGCAGAAGCAAAAAAAUUGAUUAAGCAAUCUGCAAGUGUUUUGAUAGAGAGGGAUGAUUGUGAUAUCCAUGAGCAGACAAAACAAAUCCAGAAAAUAUGUGGGCAGAGAUUGAUUUUUCAAUUCAGAUUGAAUGACUAUAAUUUGAAGUACGGUUAUCAAGAAUACACUAUUCAUAGAAUCUUUUUCGUAGAUUCUGAAAAAGAUACAUCAGUAAAUCAUUCAAAUGUUGAGCAGAUGGAGGAUGAUAAACCCAUUCUAAUAGACACUAAAAAGACUAGGAGGACUAGGAACACACGUCAUGUUGUACAUUCUGAUGAAGAAUCAGAAAAUCUGGAUAGUCAAGAGAAAGAUGAAUUCAUAUCUGUUGUUGAUAAGGAAUCUAAGAAAAAGGGAAUUCAAAAAGAUAGCCAUGAGCAAGCGGACAAGUUAUCAGUUAUGAAAACUAUAAAGCAAGAACCAGAGGAUGGUGAACCCACUAUUAACCGGACUAAAAGGGGUAGGAGAAGUAGCACAACUCAUGUUGUACACCUUGAUGAAGAACCAAAAACUGAAGGUAGUCAGGAAAUAAUGAAAUCAAAAUCUAUGGAAGCAGGCCCCAAGAGGAAACGCGCCGUAACUCGCAAAUGUGUUGGUAUUAAUAGCAAACAAGUAAAGAAUGACCAUGAAGAAGAAUCAGAACAGGCAGGUACUGAGGAGCACAAUGAUUCAAGGCCUAGGACAAGGCGUAGUUGUGUCAAUAAAGAAUUGAUGAACAAAGACAUUCAGAAGUGUGGUGUAUCAAGAACUCGAAAGUCAAAUCACUGA
rnacentral:rRNA from 1 species